rnacentral:rRNA from 1 species
UACGAAGGGGGGCGAGCGUUGUUCGGAUUUACUGGGCGUAAAGGGCGCGUAGGCGCUUGUCAGUCAGGCGUGAAAGCCCCGGGCUUAACCUGGGAAUGGCAUUGGAAACUGGAAGGCUAGAGUGUGGCAGAGGGGGGGUAGGAAUUCCACGUGUAGCAGUGAAAUGCGUAGAGAUGUGGAGGAACACCGAUGGCGAAGGCAGCCCCCCUGGGUCAAGAUUGACGCUCAUGCACGAAAGCGUGGGGAGCAAACAGG